rnacentral:rRNA from 1 species
GCCGGCGGACUCCUUCGGGAGGAAACCGGUGGAACGAGCGGCGGACGGGUGAGUAACACGUGGGCAACCUGCCGGACUGAUGGGAAUAACCCCGGGAAACCGGGGCUAAUGCCCAAUACGCCCUGACCUCGCCUGAGGUCAGCGGUAAAGCAGGGAUCUUCGGAUCCGUGCACAGUCCGAUGGGCCCGCGGCGCAUUAGCUAGUUGGAGAGGUAAGGGCUCCCCAAGGCGACGAUGCGUAGCCGACCUGAGAGGGUGAUCGGCCACACUGGGACUGAGACACGGCCCAGACUCCUACGGGAGGCAGCAGUAGGGAAUCAUCCGCAAUGGGCGAAAGCCUGACGGUGCAACGCCGCGUGAGUGAUGAAGGUUUUCGGAUCGUAAAGCUCUGUUGACAGGGAAGAACCCACGCCAGUCGAACAGGCUGGCGUGCUGACGGUACCUGUCCAGAAAGCCCCGGCUAACUACGUGCCAGCAGCCGCGGUAAUACGUAGGGGGCAAGCGUUGUCCGGAAUUAUUGGGCGUAAAGGGCACGCAGGCGGUUUCGUCAGUCCGAUGUGACAGGCCACGGCUCAACCGUGGAAGGCCAUUGGAAACUGCGAAACUUGAGGACAGAAGAGGAGAGUGGAAUUCCACGUGUAGCGGUGAAAUGCGUAGAUAUGUGGAGGAACACCAGUGGCGAAGGCGACUCUCUGGUCUGUACCUGACGCUGAGGUGCGAAAGCAUGGGGAGCAAACAGGAUUAGAUACCCUGGUAGUCCAUGCCGUAAACGCUGAGUGCUAGGUGUUA